GAUGAACGCUGGCGGCGUGCCUAAUACAUGCAAGUCGAGCGAACAGACGAGGAGCUUGCUCCUUUGACGUUAGCGGCGGACGGGUGAGUAACACGUGGGUAACCUACCUAUAAGACUGGGAUAACUUCGGGAAACCGGAGCUAAUACCGGAUAAUAUUUCGAACCGCAUGGUUCGAUAGUGAAAGAUGGCUUUGCUAUCACUUAUAGAUGGACCUGCGCCGUAUUAGCUAGUUGGUAAGGUAACGGCUUACCAAGGCAACGAUACGUAGCCGACCUGAGAGGGUGAUCGGCCACACUGGAACUGAGACACGCUCCAGGCUCCUACGGGAGGCAGCAGUAGGGAAUCUUCCGCAAUGGGCGAAAGCCUGACGGAGCAACGCCGCGUGAGUGAUGAAGGUCUUCGGAUCGUAAAACUCUGUUAUUAGGGAAGAACAAACGUGUAAGUAACUGUGCACGUCUUGACGGUACCUAAUCAGAAAGCCACGGCUAACUACGUG
rnacentral:rRNA from 1 species